CUUCGGUCGUAGACGCUGCCGCUCCUCCCCCUCUCUUCCUCCUCGCCAUGACCCACGACCUCUCUCCCUCCCUCCCGAUCUGAUCUCCUUUUCCCCCUGGGUAAGCCACCGCACUCUCUCCCUCCCUCCCGAUCCGUCCGUCCGCGACCUGCGUUGACUCGACCCGCUUCCGCUUCUACCAGGAGGCCAGCCACAUCGGCCGCCUCGCCACCGCCGGCGCCGACCUCGACCUCGACACCGUCACCACCAUGGAGGAGGAGGCGAGGGGGGUGGGGAAGCUGCGGCACUGGAGGCUGGCCAACCUUAUUGGCUACUGCUACAACGGCGACGAGCGGCUGCUUGUCGCCGAGUUCAUGCCCAACGAUACCCUCGCCAAGCACCUGUUCCACUGACUCUUCUUGCUGGUUAUUUGGAGGUCGGAGAGUCUGCAGCAGAGGGAGCCUCUAGGGAAACUUUGGAAGAAGCUUGUGCAGAUGUAGAGAUAGUCUCUCCUUUUGCUCAGUUGGGCAUUCCACUGAUUGUGCGUUGUAAUAUAAUACGUGUUUUGUUUAAAUAAAAUAAAGUGACAACUUGGCCUU